CCUAUUUUUGAAAACCAUUGGAGGGAUAACCCUGAAGGAGAAAAUCUGCAGGAUAUUAAAAAGGGUGUUCGCCAAUCAAUUAAUUGCCCAAGCCAGCUGGCUGGGGCACAGUCGUGGCGAAAAAAAAUUUCAAGCUUAGCAACCUAAAAUUGAUUUCUCCCAUUAAAGAUGCUGUACAUACUGAUGAAUGGUAUUCUGAGAAAAAAUUUGAAACUAUUGCAGUGGAUUGAACCCGUCAAGGAAAACAGCGUCACCAAAGGGAGAGGCAGAAUAAAUAAGUGACUUAAUUUUUCCUAACAUUUUAUUAUAUAAUAAAAAAUUGCAAACUA
rnacentral:lncRNA from 1 species